rnacentral:rRNA from 1 species
GACGAACGCUGGCGGCGUGCCUAAUACAUGCAAGUAGAACGCUGAAGGAGGAGCUUGCUUCUCCGGAUGAGUUGCGAACGGGUGAGUAACGCGUAGGUAACCUGUCUGGUAGCGGGGGAUAACUAUUGGAAACGAUAGCUAAUACCGCAUAAGAGUAGAUGUUGCAUGACAUUUGCUUAAAAGGUGCAAUUGCAUCACUACCAGAUGGACCUGCGUUGUAUUAGCUAGUUGGUGGAGUAACGGCUCACCAAGGCGACGAUACAUAGCCGACCUGAGAGGGUGAUCGGCCACACUGGGACUGAGACACGGCCCAGACUCCUACGGGAGGCAGCAGUAGGGAAUCUUCGGCAAUGGACGGAAGUCUGACCGAGCAACGCCGCGUGAGUGAAGAAGGUUUUCGGAUCGUAAAGCUCUGUUGUAAGAGAAGAACGAGUGUGAGAGUGGAAAGUUCACACUGUGACG